AGAAUCAACGCUGGCGGCGCGCCUAACACAUGCAAGUCGAACGAGAAAGUGGAGCAAUCCAUGAGUAAAGUGGCGUACGGGUGAGUAACACGUGGAUAACCUGCCCUUUAGUGGGGAAUACCGUUGGGAAACCGACGACAAUACCGCAUAAGCUCGAGAGAGGAAAGCAGCAAUGCGCUGAAGGAGGGGUCCGCGGUCGAUUAGCUAGUUGGUGAGGUAAUGGCUCACCAAGGCUGUGAUCGAUA
rnacentral:rRNA from 1 species